rnacentral:misc_RNA from 1 species
GAUGAAGAACGUAGCGAGAUGCGAUAAGUAAUGUGAAUUGCAGAAUUCAGUGAAUCAUCGAAUCUUUGAACGCACAUUGCGCCCGCCAGUAUUCUGGCGGGCAUGCCUGUUCGAGCGUCAUUACAACCCUCAGGCCCCCGGGCCUGGCGUUGGGGAUCGGCGGAAGCCCCCUGUGGGCACACGCCGUCCCUCAAAUACAGUGGCGGUCCCGCCGCAGCUUCCAUUGCGUAGUAGCUAACACCUCGCAACUGGAGAGCGGCGCGGCCAUGCCGUAAAACACCCAACUUCUGAAUGUUGACCUCGAAUCAGGUAGGAAUACCCGCUGAACUUAAGCAUAUCAAUAAGCGGAGGA